rnacentral:lncRNA from 1 species
CUGAAGCUCGCCUUUGAUCAUGGUGAAGACACUGGUGAAUAGAUCGUUAAUUGACUCUCCCAGUUCGUCUCUUUCCUUGGCUUCCCCCAUUUUGAGACUCUCAGAUACAAGUUAGAUUGGCCCUCUAUCAAUUAACGCUGUGUGCGUGUCACUUGUGUGAGUAGCUUCAAUUUUUAUAUAUCCAGAAUAUAUUUCAAGAAAGUUUCAACAAUUAGGACACUAGAAAAUACUUACCUUCGUGUGAGCAUCAUGAUCAUGAAUUUAAUCUAUUCAAUCAAGGAAAUUUUUAUUCUAAAUUAUAAAUAAAACUAGUGAAAAAAGCCGCGCUUCG